rnacentral:lncRNA from 1 species
ACAACGAGCUUCCGUCUACCAAAUCCGUGCACAAGGUUUUGUUUAGUCAGUCCAGAGCUAUAAAAGAAAACACUUCCUCAAGGUGUCUUGCAGUGGGAUUGAACGUGAGACCUCGUGUCUGAGAAGCAAACUUUUUACCACAUAGCCACGCCUGUAGCUCUGAACGUUCUCUUAUUUAUAAAUAAGAAAAAAAAAAACUAAACAAAAAUCCACAAAUAUUGUUGCUGAGCUUUUGAACGUAAGAAAAAUCAAAUGUAAGUAGUUCUUAUUCACUACCUCGCAAAAUAAUAAAAAGAAAGCAAGGCCAUGCCUGCUGUUGAACAAUUUAUAUAACGAAGCAUAGCAUAGCGUACCAUAACCGAACUGAACCGAACCGAACCGGACCGAACCGACAAUUAAAACCGGAAGUUCCCAUGAUGCUAGUGUCCAGAGCUGAGGAGAUGCGCAGUGUAUCGCAGGAAAUAGCAUAAGUUACACUUGAAGCUAAAUACACAGAGUGUGGAGGAGGCAGGAGGAGAUGAGCUCCAAAAUACCUCGCAAAGCCCUGGCACUCCAGGCGAGGAAAAAACGGACGAAGGCUAAAGCAAGAUUUAAAGAAGAAAAGAAACGCUCGUGA